UUCAAAUAGUUAAAAUGGAUGUAUCAAUCAACUUAAAAUUAGAAAAUCAACAGAAUUGGAACUAUGCUCACAAUGUGGUACUGAGGUUCACUUUUCAAUUACCACCAGAUGGGUACCUUUUUAUUCGAACUCUUAUCUCAAAGUCCACCACAUCAUGAAACGACAUAUAAUAAUCACAACAGAUACAAAACCUUCUAUUCUACAAAAAAAGAGUUUAAAUAACUAUGCUAACUUUAACAUCAGGAUUAUUGAGCAUAAAAAGUUUCUAACCACGGCCACCAACGCCUCUUCCACCAUGGCCACCAUGUGUAGGUGCUCCCUAAGAUUGCCCCCUGCUGAAAACAAAAAAAAGGAUGGGAGUUAGAAACCAAUAGUUUAUAUAUAAUUGUUAUGGCAUACAUUAACAAUCAUCUUCAGUAAAUUGAGUGUUUUAGAUUAAAUCUAAUAAUACAUAGUGUUGCAGGAUUGUAGAACGAACACAUUGCUUGGGCAGGGAAGCUACUCUGCUUUUUCAGGUAUGGACACAUUCCUAGACCUUUGAAAAUGCUGCUGUACAAACAACAAGAUACUUUUUGUGGCAAAGAAAAAUUCACUGAUACGAAGGCUUGUUCGUUUGUGCCGAUUGCACCCGGAAUCGUUCUAGCUAAUCAAAGUUUAUAUAAAUUAGAGAAACAAUCCGGUUAGGAAUCGUUCCGAUCCACCAAUCCGUAACAACCGAAUGGCGCCUAAAGCAUGUUACAUCCUCUCAUUACAAAAAUAAACCAAACUACUCCAACUCCAUUGAUGGGAGACAAGAAACCUUGAAAAAGCCAUAAAUUCCACCAUCUAGGAUCAUCAUCCCAAAUGGAUAUGCCACAGAAACAAACUCCGGUCUGAACGAACAUGGCCAUCUCACCAUUCACCACCGUCAUCCUCAUACCCAUCACUUUUGCAAAAGAGGAGUAAACUGCUAAAACUCCACAUGCAAACAUGAUGAAAUUGGCGCCGCCGAGUACGUCAUCGAACUCAUCGUCGUCGCCUUCACCAGAUUAGUCGUGGGAGAACACAAGUCCAACCGACAUCCAGAUAUAUAUCGUUGGAAAACUAACUCUCCCUAGCCCACCGCCAUGGCUGCAUAGAACCACAGCGAGACAAAGGAAGGGCUGGAGUACCUUAUUCUCCAUCAAUGAUGAUGACUUCGUCUUGCCAUCACCGCUGAGAAACGACAUGCUCCAUUGCUCCAUCGAUGAUCUUGACGACGCCUUACGCCGUGGCCAAUCUCUUCGAUUGGAUCUCCGGAAAAACCCUUAAACCUAACAAACCUAAUUAAACUAACAGAUCAAAAAAGAGGGUGGAUCCCCGCUCCUCCUCACCGCCGGUGAGAUCGCGGGAGAAGAAGGAGGAGGGGGACCAAGCGGCGGCCGUGGCGGCGAAGGCACUCCUGGCGCUAGCCGCUAGGGCAUUUUUCUUUUUCCCGGCUGCCGUGCGGUCA
rnacentral:lncRNA from 1 species